CUUCGUUAAGGUACCACUUUACACGGGUUAUUAUAAUAAUAAUGUUAAAAGAAUUUUUGUUUCUUGUUAAUAAUGAGGGAAAGUUCGCUUCCGUUAAAGGAAGUAGAAACUUAUCUAAGUUUCAUAUCGUUACAAACUUAGGAAAAGUGAAGUCAGAUCAGCAGGGGACAUUCGUUAAUUAUCGGGUUAAAUACACCCCUCCAACCGCAGGAAAUCUUUUAUCCACAGCAGUGGAUGCAGGAAGAUUAUAUAUAUGAGUCAAAAAUGGAAAUAAGGGGCGAACUCGAAAAAGGGUGAAUGGAAGAAAGGUCAAACACGAGAGAGGUCGAAAGAAACAACGGAGAAAAUCGGUCGUCUCCGCCAACUUCCCGAAAAGACAUCCGACAUCCUGACGAUGUAUCAAAGUGCUGCGAGAAGAACAGCACCAUCGAGGAGAAGUGAAAUUUUUCCAUCAGGAGUGGUACUAUUUCA
rnacentral:lncRNA from 1 species